rnacentral:rRNA from 1 species
UACGUAGGGUGCAAGCGUUGUCCGGAAUUAUUGGGCGUAAAGAGCUUGUAGGCGGUUUGUCGCGUCUGCUGUGAAAUUUCGGGGCUCAACCCCGAACUUGCAGUGGGUACGGGCAGACUAGAGUGUGGUAGGGGGAGACUGGAAUUCCUGGUGUAGCGGUGAAAUGCGCAGAUAUCAGGAGGAACACCGGUGGCGAAGGCGGGUCUCUGGGCCGAUACUGACGCUGAGGAGCGAAAGCGUGGGGAGCGAACAGG